CCUUAUUUUUUCUGGGGCUUUUGACUUAUUUCAGGUGUCUGAUUAAUCUUCGCAGAAGUGAUGAUGAUGACGAUGAGCAUGAUGAUGACGAUGGCCUUGAUGGUGAUGCUGCCAAUCUUUUCUGCAUAGCCCUCUGAGAGAUCAGACUGUCGUCUAAGGUACAUGGCACGACAACAUGCGUGAAAUGCUUCAUGGUUUGCACGUCUCCUGACUACCACAGCUGCCUGCGUCCUCUGACAGCCCAGAACAAUGAAACAACAGUGAGGCAUCUGUUCCCGUGAACUUGUAAAUACCAAGUUUCUGUGAAAAGUCGGAGGACAAAUGCUGACAGGCAGGACAGAAGGUGAAAUGGAAACAAAGGCGUCUUGCUGAGGGGUCCUGCGGUGCCUGUCCAGCCUUUCCAGCCGCCGAAUCACCGGACAUGCUCGAGGACACUCACUUAUUAGGCUCUCCAGGACCCUCUGAGCGAGGACGAAGAAACAUAUGCUUCAUUUUAUAUUAGAAAAAUGGUGCUGUGAAAGCAGCAUACAAGCCAGAGAGCCUACUGGAAGCAAGAGGGGAAAACCCAGUCAGGUAUGGGGGCUGCGGGGAGGAUGCCCGGCGGCGGAGACUGGAUUCAGGAUCUGAUGCCUGAACUGAACCUUCUAUUAAGAGGUGAGUGGGCUGGGAGAUUGUGAUGCCCAGAGGGUGAGGAAGGAAGAAUACAACAGAGGACAAAGAUGACGAGAACAGCCCAUGCUAGCUAGCUUGAAGACGUUAGGAAGAGCAAAAUGAGAAGAGAGGACAGGAGACAGACAAUAUUGUAGGACAGUGAUGCCUCUAGAAUCUUAGGAAAAAACUCUGAGCUUUUACAAAUACAAAAACUAAGAACUACUUAUAAAAAAUAUUAUGACGCUGACAUAAGAAAGUGAUGGGUCAGGGCAGAGUGGGAGAGAAUCAAGAGAUAGGAGGAAAUGUGGGAAGAAAGGGAUACAGACCAAACUACAGGGAGCGUUAUUUCUUCAGAAACUCUAGCUAAACGCUUUUGCCUUUUGCAUAAAAAUGGCACAAGCCAUUUUUGAGAGGGUGGGAUUUUGGAGCAGUUUUAAUGGACAUUUAGUGUGUCUGUCUCUUUCUUUUCCCAAAAUAAAUUAUUUUUUCUAAAGUAACUAUACA
rnacentral:lncRNA from 1 species